rnacentral:misc_RNA from 1 species
AACACUGUUAACCUGCGGUACCUGCGGAAGGAUCAUUAAUGAAUAAACUUGGUCAAACUGUUGCUGGUCUCUCGAGACAUGUGCACGCUUGCCACCAACUUUAACCACCUGUGCACCUUUUGUAGACUGGAAACGUUUCUCGAGGCAACUCGGAUUGAGAACUGUUGCGCGCAAGCCAGCUGUUCUUGAGUUUCUCAGUCUAUGUUUUCAUAUACUCCUAAUGUAUGUAAUCGAAUGUAU